rnacentral:rRNA from 1 species
GACGAACGCUGGCGGCGUGCUUAACACAUGCAAGUCGAACGGAAAGGCCCUGCUUGCCGGGUACUCGAGUGGCGAACGGGUGAGUAACACGUGGGUGAUCUGCCCUGCACUUCGGGAUAAGCCUGGGAAACUGGGUCUAAUACCGGAUAGGAGCCAUUUUUAGUGUGAUGGUUGGAAAGUUUUUUCGGUGUAGGAUGAGCUCGCGGCCUAUCAGCUUGUUGGUGGGGUAAUGGCCUACCAAGGCGGCGACGGGUAGCCGGCCUGAGAGGGUGGACGGCCACAUUGGGACUGAGAGACGGCCCAGACUCCUACGGGAGGCAGAAGUGGGGAAUAUUGCACAAUGGGCGCAAGCCUGAUGCAGCGACGCCGCGUGGGGGAUGACGGACUUCGGGUUGUAAACGCCUUUCGCUAGGGACGAAGCUUUUUGUGACGGUACCUAGAUAAGAAGCACCGGCUAACUACGUG